AGGGGUGGACAACGGGCCGGUUUGGGUCGGUAUGGGUCCAAACCCUCAAACCGGUCCAAUUCACGGGUGGAGAAGUAUAGUCCAUACCGAACCAUUUUUGAGAUUCGGGUUAGACNNNNNNNNNNNNUUCAGGCGAAAAUUAGAUCUUUCAAAAAAAAAAUCCAAAGAAUAUCAUCAAAUGGAGUAAUAAAUUUAUAUGAAUAUGAAAAAAUCCAGAAAUUUAAAUCGGAGAAGAGAAGAAGUUCAUCACAAAAAAUUACUAACUUUUAAAAAAUAAACAAAUAAAAAUUACAACUAAACACAAAUGAGAGAAUGAGGAAUGAAUUAUGAAAGGAAAAACAUGCACUUGCUUCUUAGAUCUGGUUUUCAUUUGCAAAAAUCAACUUGUGCAACUUGUCAAAUAGAAAACACAUUUAAAUCAACUUCUUAGAUUUGGAAUGAAAGGAAGAUUCAUGAGACUUGUUGGUGCGUUUUUUUUCUUCAGAGAACUUGUCAAAUGGAGGUAAAGGAAAACACAUCUUGUUUAGCAUAAAAGGAGUUCGGUGUGUGACUGUAAUUGUUUGUGGGAGAUGAGAAUUGAGACAGAGAAGAACAAGGUUCUAGACACAUAAUAAAUAUCAUUUAAGAAAUAGAGAGAGAAUCA
rnacentral:lncRNA from 1 species